rnacentral:rRNA from 1 species
UACAGAGGGGGCAAGCGUUGUUCGGAAUUACUGGGCGUAAAGGGCGCGUAGGCGGCCCGCUAAGUCGAACGUGAAAUCCCCGGGCUCAACCCGGGAACUGCGUCCGAUACUGGUGGGCUUGAAUCCGGGAGAGGGAUGCGGAAUUCCAGGUGUAGCGGUGAAAUGCGUAGAUAUCUGGAGGAAUACCGGUGGCGAAGGCGGCAUCCUGGACCGACAUUGACGCUGAUGAGCGAAAGCUAGGGGAGCAAACGGG